CGCAAGCCUGACGGAGCAACGCCGCGUGUGGGAAGAAGGCUCUUGGGCUGUCAACCACUUUUCUCAGGGAAGAAGCCCUGACGGUACCUGAGGAAUCAGCCUCGGCUAACUCCGUGCCAGCAGCCGCGGUAAUACGGAGGAGGCAAGCGUUAUCCGGAAUUAUUGGGCGUAAAGCGUCCGCAGGGGGCACAUCAAGUCUGCUGUUAAAGCCCACAGCUCAACUGUGGAUCGGCAGUGGAAACUGAAUAACUUGAGAGCGGUAGGGGUAGAGGGAAUUCCCGGUGUAGCGGUGAAAUGCGUAGAUAUCGGGAAGAACACCAGUGGCGAAGGCGCUCUACUGGGCCGCAACUGACGCUGAGGGACGAAAGCUAGGGGAGCG
rnacentral:rRNA from 1 species